GUCUAUGUAGUAUAUAAAUUACACUGGUCUUGUAAACCAGAAAAGGGGAGCAACUUUCCCCCAAAGACU
rnacentral:tRNA from 1 species